CUUUUCCUAAUGAAAACUUGUCUGAGUACCAUUUUGAAUCAUUUCAAAACCUUGGAUCCCAAAGAAGGAGGUGAGUUGUUUUCAGAUGGUGCAGAGACCACAUGGUCUCACGUAGUCUCCACGGAAAAAGGACUAUCACGGGUAUGUUGUUUUCAGGAGUGGACUAUUUAAUCUCUCACACACUCACACCCACUCACACCCCUCUCUCUAUAUAUCCAUCUUCUGCUGCUGCUUAUUCUUAUCUUCACCACAAAGCAAACAUUAGUCCGAUGGUCUCCAAUGCCCACUUUCAUUCCAACCGCUCAUCUCUCUCAACCUCACCAAUUUUCACCGGAGCACGGUGGAAGCCGACGGAGCUCACCGAUCUCGCUUCCGACGUCGUCUGAAACAGAGACCCAAGGGACAUAUUAAAAAUGUGUUGUACUCGGAGAAGGACUACCGUUACGUUAAUGCUUCCUCUUUAUUGGCAUCCGGUCUUAAGGAAACAUGGGUUAUACAAGUGAUUUAUCUGGAGACGGAGGUGUCAUCAAGACCAUUAUAAGGCGAUCCAAACCUGAUGUAGUUGCUCCAUCAUAGGAUCUUUCUCUUCUUGAUGGUCAUUAUCAAAGUGUGAUUUCUAAUUUGUUACGUUUUAAGGAAUAAAUGGCACCUGAGUUGUGAGCUGAAA